GUAGGUGGCAAGCGUUGUCCGGAAUUAUUGGGCGUAAAGCGCGCGCAGGCGGUUCUUUAAGUCCGAUGUGAAAGCCCACGGCUCAACCGUGGAGGGUCAUUGGAAACUGGAGAACUUGAGUACAGAAGAGGAAAGCGGAAUUCCACGUGUAGCGGUGAAAUGCGUAGAGAUGUGGAGGAACACCAGUGGCGAAGGCGGCUUUCUGGUCUGUAACUGACGCUGAGGCGCGAAAGCGUGGGGAGCAAACAGGGAUUAGAUACCCUGGUAGUCCACGCCGUAAACGAUGAGUGCUAAGUGUUAGGGGGUUUCCCGCCCCUUAGUGCUGCAGCUAACGCAUUAAGCACUCCGCCUGGGGAGUACGGCCGCAAGGCUG
rnacentral:rRNA from 1 species